rnacentral:sRNA from 1 species
CAGCUUCAGGGCAGCGCACUCCUCCUCCCAGCGCGCCCUGAUGGGAUCGGCAACACUCCUCCUCCCAGUUGUCGAUCAGAACAAGCAACGCCCGUCGGACCUCCUCCCCUGACGGGCGUUGUCU